UUUCUGUCGCUGUACCAUCAUAACGCUACUGUUCGAUGGGUAAUUCGUUUUCAGUUGCUGACGAGGACAUCCUUGCAAAGAAUGAGAUCGUGGAUCCUAGCAUCGGCCUCCAGAAAAGGAAGGAAGGGGGACACGUUUUCCAGGGAGCAGCGAGCUGCACUUGGACCCGCAAAGAGCCGCGUGCGGCUCGCGAGCCUCACUUUGGCCACUCCUGAGAUAAUGUAAGCACAGUAGAUUGAAUCGAUUGCAACAAGAAGUCAUUAAAACAUUAUUG